AAACCUAUGGCUUUUGUGCUCACUUUGGCAGGACACAGCCCCUGCGCAAGGAUAACACACAAAUUCAUGAAGUGUUCCAUAUUUUU
rnacentral:snRNA from 2 species